rnacentral:rRNA from 1 species
AACGAACGCUGGCGGCAUGCCUAACACAUGCAAGUCGAACGAGACCUUCGGGUCUAGUGGCGCACGGGUGCGUAACGCGUGGGAACCUGCCCUUAGGUUCGGAAUAACUCCCCGAAAGGGGUGCUAAUACCGGAUAAUGUCUUCGGACCAAAGAUUUAUCGCCUUUGGAUGGGCCCGCGUUGGAUUAGCUAGUUGGUAGGGUAAAAGCCUACCAAGGCGACGAUCCAUAGCUGGUCUGAGAGGAUGAUCAGCCACACUGGGACUGAGACACGGCCCAGACUCCUACGGGAGGCAGCAGUGGGGGAUACUGGACAAUGGGCGAAAGCCUGAACCAGCAAUGCCGCGUGAGUGAUGAAGGCCGUAGAGUUGUAAAGCUCUUUUACCCGGGAUGAUAAUGACAGUACCGGGAGAAUAAGCUCCGGCUAACUCCGUG